rnacentral:rRNA from 1 species
GACGAACGCUGGCGGCGUGCUUAACACAUGCAAGUCGAACGGAAAGGCCCUGCUUUUGUGGGGUGCUCGAGUGGCGAACGGGUGAGUAACACGUGAGUAACCUGCCCUUGACUUUGGGAUAACUUCAGGAAACUGGGGCUAAUACCGGAUAGGAGCUCCUGCUGCAUGGUGGGGGUUGGAAAGUUUCGGCGGUUGGGGAUGGACUCGCGGCUUAUCAGCUUGUUGGUGGGGUAGUGGCUUACCAAGGCUUUGCCGGGUAGCCGGCCUGAGAGGGUGACCGGCCACAUUGGGACUGAGAUACGGCCCAGACUCCUACGGGAGGCAGCAGUGGGGAAUAGUGCACAAUGGGCGGAAGCCUGAUGCAGCAACGCCGCGUGCGGGAUGACGGCCUUCGGGUAGUAAACCGCUUUCGCCUGUGACGAAGCGUGAGUGACGGUAAUGGGUAAAGAAGCACCGGCUAACUACGUG